rnacentral:rRNA from 1 species
AACGAACGCUGGCGGCAGGCCUAACACAUGCAAGUCGAGCGCACCUUCGGGUGAGCGGCGGACGGGUUAGUAACGCGUGGGAACGUACCCUUUUCUACGGAAUAGCCUUUGGAAACGAAGAGUAAUACCGUAUACGCCCUUUGGGGGAAAGAUUUAUCGGAGAAGGAUCGGCCCGCGUUAGGUUAGAUAGUUGGUGGGGUAACGGCCUACCAAGUCUACGAUCUAUAGCUGGUUUUAGAGGAUGAUCAGCAACACUGGGACUGAGACACGGCCCAGACUCCUACGGGAGGCAGCAGUGGGGAAUCUUAGACAAUGGGCGCAAGCCUGAUCUAGCCAUGCCGCGUGAGUGAUGAAGGCCUUAGGGUCGUAAAGCUCUUUCGCCCGUGAUGAUAAUGACAGUAGCAGGUAAAGAAACCCCGGCUAACUCCGUGCCAGCAGCCGCGGUAAUACGGAGGGGGUUAGCGUUGUUCGGAAUUACUGGGCGUAAAGCGCACGUAGGCGGAUUGGAAAGUUGGGGGUGAAAUCCCGGGGCUCAACCCCGGAACUGCCUCCAAAACUAUCAGUCUAGAGUUCGAGAGAGGUGAGUG